GGUUGGAAAUAGAGAAUUACGACUCUAGGAUUGAAUUCUUCUGAAAUUCUUUCCACUUUAUCUGCACUGUUUGUUUGACGAGAUUUAGAUCAGUUUUAUCUGGUUUAUGUUACUUUCACUCAACGUACGAUGAAUGGCGAUGUAAUGCAAUGAAUGGCUAUGCAAAUAGGAUGCUGAUGAAUCAAUGGUUCCGGCACUUACUAUUUGUAAUGGGAGGUCCGUGGCUACUACGUGGACCGGUGCUGGCAGAGAGCCGGUCUAAUUCCUUGCCAUCAGAUAUGUUGAAGCGUAAAGCAAUCAUAUAUAGUAAAAUGAAGUCAAAUAUGUCAAGAAAUGAAUGAUAAAGAAUUAUGUCAACAAAUUUUAGUAGGUACCUCCAUAUCUCCAUAAUCUCGAAUCUCGACUGAUCAAUCUAUACAUUACGCUCACAGGGGCGUCUAGUGGAAUAGAAAUUUACAUUUUAAUGUCGAUCACGUUCCACUUUAAUUAAUAACUUUGUUCAUUUAGAAUUUAGAUCAAGCAUAUUUGUAUAUUAUGUAUACGUUACUUUUAUCCUUACUCAUAUUAUAAAUGUGAAAAUAA